rnacentral:lncRNA from 1 species
GCAGAAGACAUGAACAGACAUUUCUCCAAAAGACAUACAGAUGGCCAAAAGACACAUGAAAAGAUGCUCAACAGCACUCAUCAUCAGCAACAAGCAAAUCAAAACCACAAUAAGGUAUCACUUUGCACCUGUCAGACUGGCUAAAAUAAAAAAAAAAACAAGAAGCAAGUGUUGGCAUGGAUGUGGAGCGCAACAGUGUUCCACUGCUGGUAGGAAUGCAAACUGGUGCAGCCACUGUAAAAACCAAUAUAGAGGUUCCUCAAAAUAUGAAAAAUAGAACUACCAUAUGAUCCAGUAAUUGUACUACUAUUUACCCAAGGAAUAUGAAAAUACUAAUGCAAAAAAAUAUAUAUACAACCCUAUGUUUACUGCAGUAUUAUUUACAAUAGCCAAUCUAUGGAAGCAACCCAAGUGUCCAUCCAUAGAUGAAUAGGUAAAGAAGAGGUGGUGAUUGUGUAUAUAGUAUGUGUGUGUCACACACACACACACACACACACACACACAAUGGUAUAUUACUCAGCCAUCAAAAAGAAUAAAAUCUUGCAAUUUGCAAUAACAUGGACAGAUUUAGCAAAUAAAAUGCUAAGUGAAAUAAGUCAGUCAGGGAAAGACAAAUUCCAUGAUUUCACUCAUAUGUAGAAUUUAAGAAACAUGAAGAAAAAAAAGAGACAAACCAAAAAAUAGACUCUUAACUAUACAGAACAAACAGAGGAACAGAAGGGAAAGGGGGGAUGGUAAAAUAGGUGAAAGGAAUUAAGAGUACACUUAUCAUGAGCAUGGAGUAAUGUACAAAAUUGUUGUAUCACUAUAUUCUAGACCUGAAACUAAUAUAACACUGUAUGCUAAUUAUACUGGAAUUAAUUUUUUUUUAGAUUUCAUUUAUUUAUUCAUGAGAGACACAGAGAGAGAGAGAGAGAGAGAGAGAAAGAGACAGAGACAGAGACACAGGCAGAGCGAGAAGCAGGCUCCACGCAGGGAACCCGACGUGGGACUCGAUCCCAGUACUCCAGGAUCAUGCCCUGGGCGGAAGGCAGCGCUAAACCACUGAGCCACCGGGGCUUCCCGAAUUAAAAUAUUUUUUAAAAGUAGGCAGAGGGGUGGGAUCUCUGGGUGGCGCAGCGGUUUAGUGCCUGCCUUUGGCCCAGGGCGUGAUCCUGGAGACCCGGGAUCAAAUCCCACAUUGGGCUCCCGGUGCAUGGAGCCUGCUUCUCCCUCUGCCUAUGUCUCUGCCUCUCUCUCUCUCUCUCUGACUAUCAUAAAUAAAUAAAAAUUUAAAAAAAUUUUUAAAAAAAGUAGACAGAUGGGUGCACAGUAGGUUAAUAUCCAAUUCUUGGUUUUGGCUCAGGUCAUGACCUCUCCUGAGAUGGACCCCCACAUCUAACUCCACAAUCAGUGCAGAGUCUACUUGAGAUUCUUUCUCCCUUGCUAAUAAAAUUUUUAAAAAAAUAAAAUAAAAAUGGGCAGAGGACCUGAAGAGACAUUUUUCAAAGAUAACAGAUGGCAACAGAUACAUGAAAAAAUGCUCAACAGUACUAAUUAUCAAGGAAAUGCAUAUCAAAGCCAUAAUGAGCUAUCACCUCAAACUAGUAUAGAAUCAAAAAGACAAGAAUUACAACUGUAAGCAAGGAUGUGAAGAAGACAGCCCUUGUGCUUUGCUGGUGGGAAUGUAAAUUGGUUCAGCUACUAUGGAAAACAGUAUGGAGCUGUAUCAGAAAAUUAAAAAUAGAAAUACGAUUCAGUAAACCUACUAAUGGGAAUUUACCCAAAGAAAACAAAAAUACUAAUUCAAAAAGAUAUAUGCACCCCUAUGCUUACUGCAGCACUAUUUACAAUAGCCAAGAUAUGGAAGCAACCUAGUGUUCAUCAGCAGAUGGAUAAAGAAGAUGUGGUAUAUAUACACACACAUGCACACACACAUACAAUGAAUUAUUACUCAACCAUAAAAAAGAAAAAUCUUGCCAUCUGUGCCAACGUGGAUGGACCUAGAGAUAUUAUUCUAAGUGAAAUCAAAUGCCAUGUGAUUUCUCUUACAUCUGGAAUCUAAAAAAUAAAACAAAUUAAGAGGACUUUUAAAUAGAGUGAUCAAACUGGUGGUUGCCAGAGGGGAGGUGUGUGGAGAGAUGGGCAAAUAGAUGAAGGGGAUUAAGAGGUACAAACUUCCAGUUAUAAAAUAAAUGUCAUGGAGAUGAAAAAUACAACAUAGGGAAUAUAGUCAGUACUAUUUUAAUAAUGCUGUAUGUUGACAGAUGGUGACUACAUUUAAAAUGAGCACUAAUGUAUGAAAUUGUUGAAUUAAUAUGUUGUACAACUGAAACUAUUAACAUUAUAUGUUAGUCAUACAUCAAUGGGGAAAAACAGACAAGAAAUAACACGUGUUG